GCGAAACCGCGCGCCGGCCGGCGGCGCCCAGGACUGCCCUGCAGAGCCUUCCCGAGGGGGCGUCGGCUCAGCCCGGCGCUCGGGGCUGCUACGGUGGUUCGGGUCGGAGACCCCUGAGAUCUUAAAGAUUUGUCCAGUGAGAAUUAGGUGCAGACUGUUCCAGAGACAAGGAAACAGUCACUGGGGAGAGAGAAAGUGGAUGUCAGGUUCAGGGACCUGCAGAACGGCCCGUGUGACUAGAGAGUGAGUGGCAGGAGAAAAGAUGCAAUGGGAAGGAACUGGAGGAUUUUCGACCAGGAUAGUGACAUGACCUUAUUUGGUUUGUGAAGAUCUGUGGUAUAAAUAGAUUAUAAUGGGGGGAGGGGCAGCGAAUGUAGGGACACCAGAAAUGGCCCCGCAGUCUAAGACAGAGAAUUGUGGUUUUUAGUUAUGGUAGUCAAGAAAGAGAAAAAUGAGCAGAUGUGUGUGUUUUGCAGACAGAAGGAAGAACUUGCUGAUAACAGAGAAAGCGAUGAAGAAUAACCUGAAAUGUUUGUUAGUUUGCCCCUACCAGGUGUUUAGUGAUAUUUACAGAGUAAGGUUGUGGGGAGAGCCUUAGAUUUAGUGCAUAAACAGGAAACAAUAAUAUGAAUUGUUAUAAUAACAGGAUUUGUCUACGAUUUUGCUACCCCCUGGAGGUUUCCUUCCACCGUGGCUCUCUGCUAAAUCACCAUUAACCCUGACUUUAUAUCCAUCUCUUUCUUAGCACUCCAUAGAGCAAAUGGAGAUGAUUUUUCUACUUAAGUACCACCUAAGCUAUCUCUAGAAAGACCUAGAAGAGCGACUUUUGUCUCUAUUUUUGGGAUGCCUACAUGUCCACAAAACUCAGGAGGUUUCAAAUUCCACCAAAUCCAGCAUCCUUUCGUAAUGGGCACCAGUGCCACCACGUAGAUUGGGGAAAAUGGAGUUGAUUGCUGGUCUAAAGACUUUUCAGCCCAAACAUUGGUCUCUUGGGGCAAGUAUUUUUUUAAAAGUGCAUAUUUAAUUACAUAAUUUAUUUUUCCUCUGCCAUUGACACUGACUCAGGUAAUUCAUGUUUCCUGGGGAUCCAGAUAGAAUGCCUAUCAGUUGCUGCAGUAGCUCUUCCCUUUCUUGUUCUAAAGACUGGGGAAGUUCUAAGGAGCCAUAGUUUUGGCUUUGUUGUUGUUGUUGUUGUUGUUUAUGUUUGUUUGUUUUUUCAAGACAGGGUAUAGCCCUGGUUGUCCUGGAACUCAUUUUGUAGACCAGGCUGGCCUCGAACUCAGAAAUCUGCCUGCCUGUGCCUUGCCUCCCAAGUGCUGGGAUUAAAGGCGUGUGCCACCACCGCCCGGCUUAGUUUUGGCUUAUCUGCUGUUUUGAUUGUCCAGAAUAAAAGGAGCUGUAACUAUAACAGAGAGGAUUCCUGACUAAUACCCAUUGAUGUUCAUAACUGAUCAAGGCCAAAUGUUGGAACAGUUUGCGACUGUUUUAACUCCAGCUCUGUGGGAUGACGAUACUUUAAUUCUUGAGUUUGAAAAAAAAAUGUAUAAAUUCUUCCUUUUACCCCAACAGUAUUUACCAGGACAUCUUGAAGUAUAUGUAUUCUUCUAUUCAAGAUUCUAGACCUGUGAUUAAAAUGUGUGUGUGUGCAUGUGUGUACAUGUGUGUGUGUAUGUAUUCGUGUGUGCUUGCGUGGGUGUGUAUGAGUGUAUGUGUGUUAGAAGGAUUAAAAAACAUUCUCCAUCCUUCUCCAGGGGUUUCGUAUCAUUGUAGAUAACAGCGAUUCACCUGGUCUUUUCCUACAAGUAAGACAGGCAUAGUAAUUAGGAGGCAAGCACAGUGCUCACACAGUUCCCACCACUUCCCAUUUUAGCCGCACGCUCUGUUUGUCUCCAAUCGCGCUGAUAAUUCAGAGUCCCAUGUCUCUGCAGUAACAGGACAACACAGUUCCCUUCUCUACAGCUCUACCUACAUUUUAACAGAAGCAAAACUGAGGGGCAAUGAGGGGGUGGGGUGGGGGGAGAGCAAAAUGAUGGAGAAGUAUGUGCUAAUUCCAGCCCUGCUGCUAACUUGAACUGAGAAGUCCAUGUCCUUGCUUUGAGCCUCUUUUUCCUCUCCUCCUGAACAGACCUUGUGUGCAGCAGAGGCAUCUCAUCACUCACCUGAGUAAACAGCUGGGAUCUUUCUAUUCGGAGAUGAGCCACCAUGCCCCUUACGGUGGAGAGUCCUUGGAGACCCAGAAGAACAUAGACGGCCCCCAGGAGGGCUCUGUGCUGGCAGGCUAAAGACAGAAAUAGCCAUACGGUGGCUGUUAAAGGGAUGAGACUGUGGCGUGCUUUCUUGUGAUAGAUGGUAGGACUCAGCUCGGAAGAAGCUGACUCCAGAUGGGACUUCAGGGAAAACGGGAAGAAACCGUGCCAUUACUCUGCACUUGAAGGAGCAUCUUUGGCCUGACAGGAUAAUGAACACACUUCCUCUCUCAGUCAGGUUUACUGCGUGGGCCGAGAGAGUGGCAGCUAUGUUGCAUAUUUGUGCCUGGGAUUCUUAGGGUGGGAGAAGACAACAGUCAAAUCCAGAGGUUAGCUUACACCCAGGGAUCAAAUGGCAAUUUGUCUGGUAGGUUGGUUCUCGCAGAACUGUCUCCAAGAUGAAAAGUUAUUGAUCGGUGGUGUGUAGGACAUUUAUUAGGGAGCUCUCUUAGGACCAAUUCCUGUGGGGGGAAGGAAGGAAGUGGAAUUAAUCCGAAGUCAGCUACAGGCCCAGGAGGUUUUGACAGACUGAUAGAGAGCUCUCAAGCUAGGGUGGGUGUUUGGAGUUCUGUCAGGACAAAGGGACUAAGUCUUCUAGUACCGACUAGGUAUUAGGUGCUAGCUACCCCGGGAAGAGGACAAAGGGACUAAGUCUUCUAGUACCGACUAGGUAUUAGGUGCUAGCUACCCCGGGAAGGGGGCAUUGUCUUGGGGGAAAGCAGCUUAUUCAGCCAAGGCUGGUUCAUCAAGAAGACAGCAGAGGGCUGGGAGAUGGCUCGGUCAGUAAGGUGCUUGCUGUACAAGCAGGAGGUCUUGCUUGGAACCCAUGUGAGCCCAGGCACAGUGCCUAUGACCCCCCCACACACACCCCCCACCCUCCACUGGGGAAAUAGAGACAGGAGGAUCCCUGUAGCCUGCUGACCAAAUAGAUAGUCUACACAAGUAAGGAAACAUACAUAAAUGCCCUUAAAAGACUUCUAUCAGAUCACUCAACCUACAACCCUCUCCAUAGCUGGGGACCAGUCCCUCUGCCCUGAGGGAGCGCCUGUAUUACAAAGUGCAUCUUGUAGUUUAUUCUGUAACUUGGUUGUCAUGAAGUGUGUAACCUGGUCGUCAUAAAGUGUUUUGGGUUUUGGGUUUGAGGUUUCCUCAGUGUAGCCUUAACUGUCAUGAAACUUGCUCUGUAGACCAGGCUGGGCUUGAGCUCAGAGACCCAUCUGCCUCUGCCUCUUGAAUGUUGGGGUCAUUUAAAGGCAAGUGCCACCACCCUGGCCUUUUGACAGGAUCUUAGGUAGACCAGGCUGGUAUGGAAUUUAUACCCUGCCUCUGUCUUUCAAGAGCUGGGAUGGCAGGUAUGUGGUACCAUGUCUGCCUAGUAAAUUUUCAGUUCCUCGACAUCUUCUAAUAAAGUUGACUACAGGAAAAAGAA